GCGGACGUGGCGGAAUUGGUAGACGCGCUAGAUUUAGGUUCUAGUAUCCUUGAUGUGAGAGUUCGAGUCUCUCCGUCCGCA
rnacentral:tRNA from 2 species